rnacentral:rRNA from 1 species
UACGGGGGGGGCAAGCGUUGUUCGGAAUUACUGGGCGUAAAGGGCUCGUAGGCGGCCAACUAAGUCAGACGUGAAAUCCCUCGGCUUAACCGGGGAACUGCGUCUGAUACUGGAUGGCUUGAGAUUGGGAGAGGGAUGCGGAAUUCCAGGUGUAGCGGUGAAAUGCGUAGAUAUCUGGAGGAACACCGGUGGCGAAGGCGGCAUCCUGGACCGAGAUUGACGCUGAGGCGCGAAAGCCAGGGGAGCAAACGGG